GACGAACGCUGGCGGCGUGCUUAACACAUGCAAGUCGAGCGAUGAAGCACCUUCGGGUGUGGAUUAGCGGCGAACGGGUGAGGAACACGUGAGGAAUCUGCCUUCCACUCUGGGAUAACUCCGGGAAACCGGGGCUAAUACCGGAUACUUUCAACUGGCGGCAUCGCCGGUUGAAGAAAGUUUUUCGGUGGAAGAUGACCUCGCGGCCUAUCAGCUUGUUGGUGAGGUAAUGGCUCACCAAGGCGACGACGGGUAGCCGGCCUGAGAGGGCGACCGGCCACACUGGGACUGAGACACGGCCCAGACUCCUACGGGAGGCAGCAGUGGGGAACAUUGGGCAAUGGAGGAAACUCUGACCCAGCGACGCCGCGUGAGGGAUGAAGGCCUUCGGGUUGUAAACCUCUUUCACCAGGGACGAAGCGCAAGUGACGGUACCUGGAGAAGAAGCACCGGCCAACUACGUGCCAGCCGCCGCGGUAA
rnacentral:rRNA from 1 species